rnacentral:rRNA from 1 species
AUUGACCGCUGGCGGCAGGCCUAACACAUGCAAGUCGAGCGGAGCGGCGGACGGGUGCGUAAUGCCUAGGAAUCUGCCUGGUAGUGGGGGAUAACGUCCGGAAACGGGCGCUAAUACCGCAUACUAUCAGAUGAGCCUAGGUCGGAUUAGCUAGUUGGUGGGGUAAAGGCCUACCAAGGCAACGAUCCGUAACUGGUCUGAGAGGAUGAUCAGUCACACUGGGAAUGAGACAAGGGCCAGACUCCUACGGGAGGCAGCAGUGGGGAAUAUUGGACAAUGGGGGCAAUCCUGAUCCAGCCAUACCGCGUGGGUGAAGAAGGCCUUCGGGUUGUAAAGUACUUUCAGCGGGGAGGCGUUACCCGCAGAAGAAGCACCGGCUAACUCCGUGCCAGCAGCCGCGGUAAUAC